UUCGAUUCCAAGCCUUACGAUGGCCUUUUAAGGACAUCUGCAAAAAAAAAAAAGAAAAAAAGAAAAAAAAUGAUAAAGGAGAUGGGGGAGAAAGUCACUUGGGGAAAACUGAUUGUGGCUACUGAGAAUGCAGCCCUCAUCCAGCCCCGUGAUGGUGCAGGCAACCCUGUGUGGGGCAGCGUGUCCUCCAUGCAUGCUGCUGUGUAGGGGCCACAAAGGGGCAGCACCCACCGGAAGAUUUUUCUAUAGAGCAUGUUUCUUCUGUUCAGUAAAGUGAGAAGUUGCAUGUUCCUGCCACGAUUCUGCUACUUCUCAGCUUCGGAUCUGAGGGGCCCAAAUUUGGAUCCUAAUUUACUCUCUGCUGCAAAAUGGCCGCAGGAGAGGCAGGACAAAGUAACACAGGAAAUGGGAGCCAGGGUCUAGAUGUGAAAACGCCAAGGUACCAGUUUUCCAAGUGACCUGACUGGCUUUCUAAGCUACUCUGAUGAUGUCCUGCAUGACCUCAGUUUGCAACCUGGCCACGGCAGCCUAGGUGCUUGUCUUUCUUCUGACACCAGCAUAUGGUUUCCCAUUGCCCAUUUAUCUCCCGCAGCUCACAGGAGCAAGGGUGCUUCCUGUCACAUGGUACCAUAUUCAAAGUCUGCGGGAUUCGUUCAAAAGCAGAAAGACCCAUGGCGACUGUGUACAUGCAUGGAAUGAGGUCCUGAGUGAUAUUAAAAAAUCCAUCACUAUCUCAUUUAAAAAAAAAAUGGACUUCUCCAUGUAUAAAGUAGCAAUCACUAAAUUACCAGUGCAGAGGGAUUCAGAAACUUCUAGAAUUCAUUAAGAUAACAAGCAACUAAAAACACACUAUUACUACAGAGUUUCUCCCUGAAAAUGGAAAAGACUCUGCCCCUAACAAUGCAAAAGGGGGAACUUUCAAAAAAAACAAAUCAUCCUUCGUCUUGGUUUAAUAGUUAAAGCAACUGCUGAGGUUUCUCCCAGAAAUUACAUAUCCAAACAUCUGUAUUCUUACCCCAAAGAACAAAAUCCUAAGUGAAAACGUUGAAGACAUAAAAGACUGCCCAUCUUGGGGCUCCCCGUGGCUCACCUCUGCUAUCUCCACUUUCCUUUCCCACAUCCUGAUGCUCUUCUCCAGGUCCGCAUUUAAGAUCUUCUCCCGGACGUAAGUCAUCACCUGUGGUGCCCGGAACUCGGCCAGCUGCUUCCGGAGCCUCUUAUUCACUGCCUCGGCUUUGGCCCGGUCCUGGGUUGGGAAGGACCAGUUACACCCAGGGAACCCCAGCAGCUCUUGCUUUGAGAACUCACUGGCCCUGCCAUCUCUCCCCAUAGUUCCAAUAGAGUUCCAAAAAUAAUGUUUACAUUUUCAAAGAGGUUGGGGAGGGGUGGGAAUCACAAGAUUCUGAUUUUUUUCCCAAACAUAUUUUAAGCCAGUUCAGAAACACCUAGUGCAGUCUAAAUAGUCUUGUUUCUUUCAUUCCUUUUCUUCCCUCCUUCCUCUUCCUCUCCUUUAUUAAGGAAUAUGUUGUACUUAUUUUGACUUCUUAGGGUUUUUCUGUGUGUGAAAAAUUGUGUAUUUAAGUAUACUUUGAUCAGACUCAAUUCACUUCCAUGUCUUUUUUAAUUAUAAGAUAUAUAUAUAACAUAAAAUUUAUCAUCUUAACCAUUUUUAACUAUACAGUUCUGUGGCAUUAAGUACAUUCACAUUCUUGUGCAACUAUCACCACCAUCCAUCUCCAGAACUCUUUUUGUCUUGUAAAACAGAAAUUCUGUACCCAUUAUACAAUCACUCCUCCUUCCCUCCUCUCCCAGCCCCUGGCACCCACCAUUCCACUUUCUGUCUCUAUGAAUUUGACUACUCUGGGUACCUCAUAUAAGCGGAAUCAAACAGUACUUGUCCUUUUGUGACUGGCUUAUUUCACUUAGCAUAAUGUCCUUGAGUUUCCUACACAUGGUAGUAUGUGUCAGAAUGUCCUUCCUUUCUAAGGUGGAAUGAUUUUCCGUUGUAUGAAUAUACCACAUUUUAUUUAUUUUGUUUAUCCAUUCAUCCUUCGAUAGACACUUGGGUUGCUUCCACUUCUUGGCUAUUGUGAAGAAUGGUGCUGUCAACAUGGGUGUACAAAAAUCUGUUCAAUUCUCCUCUCAAUUCUUUUGGGUAUAUUCCCAGACGCAGAAUGCCUAGAAGCUAUGGUAAUUCAAUUUCGUGAGUAAUCCUUGUCUUUUAAAUAUUUAUUUAAAAAAUUAUCAUGCAGUAAAAAUUAGCCCUUUUAAUAGAAUGCAUUUUUUAAAAAUUAACAUCAGCUGGGGAGAGUGGCUCACGCCUGUAAUCCCAGCACUUUGGGAGGCUAAGGCGGGCGGAUCACUUGAGGUCAGGAGUUUGAGACCAGCCUGGCCAACAUGGUGAAACCCCAUCUCUAUUAAAAAUACAAAACUGAGUCGGGCAUGGUGACUUAGGCCUGUAAACCCAGCUACUUGGGAGGCUGAGGCAGGAGAAUUGCUUGAACCCUGGAGGUGGAGGUUGCAGUAAGCCGAGAUCACGACGCUGCACUCCAGCCUGAGUGAUAGAGCGAAACUGUCUAAAAAAAAAAAUUUAAAAAAAAAUUUUAACAUUAUCCUUUUAACUUUUACUUUACUAAUUCUUUUGUUUAGGCAAUACAUUCAGUUCAAAUGGUACACUGUGGCAAGCUCCCAUCCCACUCCUGUCACCCCAUCAGGAAGAUCUCCUGCCCAGAAGCAUACACUGUUUUUAGGUUUUGUGCAUCCUUCCAGAAAUCUAGGCUUAUACAAACAUGUUUCCUUUUUUUGACCUAAAUAGUAGCAUACUCUAUUCACUUUUAUUCAUCCAGAUGUUUUCACUCAAUAAAUCUUGAAGAUCUUUGUGUAUCAACACAUGAAGAAUUUACUCAUUCUUUUUAAGCUGCAUAAUUUUCCACAUGGAUGUACCAUAAUUUAACAAUUCUCCCACAGUCACUUAACUGUUUAAUCUCUUGCUAUUACAAUAAACAGUGCUGCAAUUACUAACUAUCUGGGUAUACAUCAUAUUAUCAUUAUGCAAGUGAAUCAGUAGGAUAAACUGCUAAAAGUGAAAUUGCUUGUUCCAGGCAGUGGUUCUCAACCAGAGGCAAUUUUGCCCCCAAGGGGACAUUUGGCAAUGCCUAAAGACAUUUUUGUGGGAAUUAGAGGGGUGCUGCUGGCAUCUAGUAGGUAGAGGGCAGCGAUGCAACUGAAAACCCUACAAUACACAAGACAUCCCCCUACAAGAAAGAAUUAUCCAGCCCCAAAUGUCAGUAAUGUGUUUAGGGUGCAAAACCCAGCCUUAAGCAUAUGUGCAUGUUAAUGUUUGGUAAACAGUGCUAAAUUUCCCUUUAUAAUAAUCAAGACAAUUACACUUCUCCAGUAAUGUUUGAGACUGCCGGUUUUCCCUCAUUCUCUCACUACAGUUUUAUCGACUCUUUGAUCUUUGUCAAUCUAAGAGAAGGAAAAUAAUAUCCCAUCAUAGCUUUCUUUUGUAUUCCUUGUAUUACGAGUGAGGUAGAAUAUUUUUCACAUUUCAGUUUUUUAGCUUUUCAGUAAACUCUUGACAACUUUUGUCCAUUUUUUCUAUUAGUUAUUAGUUUUUUCUUGUUGAUCUAUAGAAGUUAUUUAUUUGGAGU
rnacentral:lncRNA from 10 species